GAUUCGUAAUAACUAAACGAAUCGCAUGGCCUUUUGCGCCGGCGAUGGUUCAUUCAAAUUUCUGCCCUAUCAACUUGCGAUUGUAGGAUAGAGGCCUACAAUGGUUUCAACGGGUAACGGAGAAUUAGGGUUCGAUUCCGGAGAGGGAGCCUGAAAAACGGCUACCACAUCCAAGGAAGGCAGCAGGCGCGCAAAUUACCCAAUCCCGACACGGGGAGGUAGUGACAAUAAAUACUGAUACAGGGCUCUUUUGGGUCUUGUAAUUGGAAUGAGUACAAUUUAAAUCCCUUAACGAGGAACAAUUGGAGGGCAAGUCUGGUGCCAGCAGCCGCGGUAAUUCCAGCUCCAAUAGCGUAUAUUAAAGUUGUUGCAGUUAAAAAGCUCGUAGUUGAACCUUGGGUCUGGCUGGCCGGUCCGCCUCACCGCGUGCACUGGUCCGGCCGGACCUUUCCUCUUGGGGAUCCACAUGCCCUUUACUGGGUGUGUUUGGGGAACCAGGACUUUUAC
rnacentral:rRNA from 1 species